CCUUAAUGGUUAGUAAGGGUAUUGGGGGGCAGGGUUUAAAGUCAGAGAGAUGGAGACGAAUUCUUCAUGGGCUGUUUCUCUGUGGCCUACCUUAAGUCCUCCAUUCUGGCCAGUUCUGAAGCAAGCCACUCCAAUGGCCCAAACGAUCACCCUUCUUUCCCCACCUGUUUGCUGUGCUGUGGGCUCUCUCCUUUUAGAUGGUAUCAAGGAUGCCCCCUCCAAGAAGGUCUCCUAGAUUGAUCUGCCCACUCUCUCCCUUCCACCACUCUUUCCCAAAGGCUGUGUUCCUCCUUGUCUAAAUUGACCAGGCCUUCUCCUUGCUCAGUUCCAGGUCCCCCAGCUGGCAUCAAAGCUGUCCCUUCAUCGGCUAGCAGUGUGGUCGUUUCUUGGCUCCCUCCAACCAAGCCCAAUGGCGUGAUCCGCAAGUACACCAUCUUCUGCUCCAGCCCAGGGUCUGGUCAGCCGGUAAGCAGAGCCAGGGGAACAGGAGAAAAGAUCCUGUGGGGAAUACAGGACCAUCUGGCUUUCAGACCAAACCCCGAGGCUGCCUGUAUCUGUUCUACCUGGAGCCCUAGUUAGGAAUGGGCACUGGUCACCCCAAAGCGGCUUGAAGCCUGACUACCAUCCAUCUUGGGUCAUCCCUAUGUUCCUGAAGUUGCAAGACUGUCACAAAGCUUGGAGUCAGGUGGCUCACAAUCAAGUGGGCAGCGUGAGAGGGAAGCCAGCCAGCCAUUCUGCUCUGUCUGUGGAAGCUCUUAGCAGGCUCCCAGCUGAUGACUGGGGACGGGCUGCUUGGUGACCUCUGGGAAUGAAUGGCCUUUCAUCAGGGUCACUCUGGGCAUCAGGUGCUGCCGGAGCCUGCCCUGAGUGACUGUCUCAGCAUGGAAACAGGUGAAGGGAUAGGAAAGACAGGGGCACCCCAGAGAGGCAAGCCAUCUCUCCAGCCAGGGCCUGGGCUUCAGCAGGGGAGAGUCUGCAACACCCGGCUCUCCCCUGGGAGCGGAGGGCACCCUCAAGUGGAAGUGCUGUGCAGGUG
rnacentral:lncRNA from 1 species